UGGCAGUGAUUUGAACCUUACCCGUGCUUCUGAUUAAUACAUGAAGGACAAGGGAAAGCAUGGUUGAAUUUCUUAAUAUGAGGAAAAAAGAGCCA
rnacentral:snoRNA from 1 species